GGGCGCUUGGUCUAGGGGUAUGAUUUUCGCUUCGCAAGUUGCAACAGCAAUUGAGUAUGUGAAAGGUCGCGGGUUCGAAUCCUGCAGCGUCCA